rnacentral:rRNA from 1 species
UACGGGGGGAGCAAGCGUUGUUCGGAUUUACUGGGCGUAAAGGGCGCGUAGGCGGCCACCGCAAGUCGACUGUGAAACCUCCGGGCUUAACCCGGAAAGGUCAGCCGAUACUGCGGGGCUAGAGUGCAGAAGGGGCAACUGGAAUUCCCGGUGUAGUGGUGAAAUGCGUAGAUAUCGGGAGGAACACCAGUGGCGAAGGCGACUUCCUGGCCUGUUCUUGACGCUGAGGCGCGAAAGCUAGGGUAGCAAACGGG